rnacentral:rRNA from 1 species
GAUGAACGCUGGCGGCGUGCCUAAUACAUGCAAGUCGAGCGAACAGACGAGAAGCUUGCUCCUCUGACGUUAGCGGCGGACGGGUGAGUAACACGUGGAUAACCUACCUAUAAGACUGGGAUAACUUCGGGAAACCGGAGCUAAUACCGGAUAAUAUAUUGAACCGCAUGGUUCAAUAGUGAAAGACGGUUUUGCUGUCACUUAUAGAUGGAUCCGCGCUGCAUUAGCUAGUUGGUAAGGUAACGGCUUACCAAGGCAACGAUGCGUAGCCGACCUGAGAGGGUGAUCGGCCACACUGGAACUGAGACACGGUCCAGACUCCUACGGGAGGCAGCAGUAGGGAAUCUUCCGCAAUGGGCGAAAGCCUGACGGAGCAACGCCGCGUGAGUGAUGAAGGUCUUCGGAUCGUAAAACUCUGUUAUUAGGGAAGAACAUAUGUGUAAGUAACUGUGCACGUCUUGACGGUACCUAAUCAGAAAGCCACGGCUAACUACGUG